rnacentral:lncRNA from 1 species
CAUCAUGAUUCUAGAUUUUGAUUUUCAAAUUUCAAUAGUAUUAGUUGCAAUAAUUUUGUAUACUUAAGUAAACUUGAAACUACUGUACUUAUUAUAUCUUUAGUUAAUUCUACUUUUGAAUUUUAUGAAAGAGUUAUGUCUCUUGUACUCUGGUAGACAAAGAGUUUAGCUCCUUUUCCCACUAGCUCAAAGAUUUUUGACAUCUUUCUCAUUCAUGUGAUAUCUAAUAUUAGUUUAGAACCGCAAGUACGCUAAAAGAAAAAAAAAGAGAAAACUAUCUAUUAAGCAUUGAAACAAAUCAGUCUUUCUUCUAUAGCACUUGAAAUUUUGAACUUUCUAAUGUGGCAUCGAGUUAAAAUUUUCUUCUCUAGAUGCCACUACCAUCCAUUUAGUCGAUCCAUCUGUUACUUUACUGUAUUGACCAUAAGCGGAGCUAUGUGUAGGCUAAAGUGGGCUAUGCCCCCCCCUGCCUAUGCAAAAUUUGUACAUGUAUCUCACCGCAAUGCACAACAUUAGGAUAUGAAGCACUAGUAAUUGCAUUCAUUAUACAGAUAUGGUGUUCCAACAACUUUUUUUCUUGCAUCUACUACUCCUAUGCUGCAUGUUUUUUUGUCGUUUUUCUUGGUUGGGA